UACGUAGGGACCGAGCGUUGUCCGGAUUUAUUGGGCGUAAAGAGCUCGUAGGCGGCAUGGAAAGUCGGGAGUUAAAACAUUGGGCUUAACCCAGUGUCGCUUCCGAUACUUCCAAGCUUGAGCAUGACAGGGGAGAACGGAAUUCCUGGUGUAGCGGUGAAAUGCGCAGAUAUCAGGAAGAACACCGAUGGCGAAGGCAGUUCUCUGGGUCAUAGCUGACGCUGAGGAGCGAAAGCGUGGGGAGCGAACAGG
rnacentral:rRNA from 1 species